rnacentral:rRNA from 1 species
CCAACGACCGUACCGCAAACCGACACUGGUGCGCGAGAUGAGUAUUCUAAGGCGCUUGAGAGAACUCAGGAGAAGGAACUCGGCAAAUUGACACCGUAACUUCGGAAGAAGGUGUGCCCUAUUAGUGUGAAGUGAACAACGGAGCAUGAAUGGGUUGCAAAAAAUCGGUGGCUGCGACUGUUUAUUAAAAACACAGCACUCUGCAAACACGAAAGUGGACGUAUAGGGUGUGACGCCUGCCCGGUGCUGGAAGAUUAAAUGAUGGGGUGCAAGCUCUUGAUUGAAGUCCCAGUAAACGGCGGCCGUAACAAUAACGGUCCUAAGGUAGCGAAAUUCCUUGUCGGGUAAGUUCCGACCUGCACGAAUGGCGUAACGAUGGCCACACUGUCUCCUCCUGAGACUCAGCGAAGUUGAAAUGUUUGUGAUGAUGCAAUCUCCCCGCGGAAAGACGGAAAGACCCCAUGAACCUUUACUGUAGCUUUGUAUUGGACUUUGAACAGAUCUGUGUAGGAUAGGUGGGAGGCUUUGAAGCAGGGUCGCUAGAUCUUGUGGAGCCAACGUUGAAAUACCACCCUGGUGUGUUUGAGGUUCUAACCUAGGUCCAUUAUCUGGAUCGGGGACAGUGCAUGGUAGGCAGUUUGACUGGGGCGGUCUCCUCCCAAAGCGUAACGGAGGAGUUCGAAGGUACGCUAGUUACGGUCGGACAUCGUGACGAUAGUGCAAUGGCAUAAGCGUGCUUAACUGCGAGACUGACAAGUCGAGCAGAUGCGAAAGCAGGACAUAGUGAUCCGGUGGUUCUGUAUGGAAGGGCCAUCGCUCAACGGAUAAAAGGUACUCUGGGGAUAACAGGCUGAUACCGCCCAAGAGUUCAUAUCGACGGCGGUGUUUGGCACCUCGAUGUCGGCUCAUCUCAUCCUGGGGCUGUAGCCGGUCCCAAGGGUAUGGCUGUUCGCCAUUUAAAGAGGUACGUGAGCUGGGUUUAAAACGUCGUGAGACAGUUUGGUCCCUAUCUUCCGUGGGCGCUGCAGAUUUGAGGAAGCCUGCUCCUAGUACGAGAGGACCGGAGUGGACACACCUCUGGUGUAUCGGUUGUCACGCCAGUGGCAUUGCCGAGUAGCUAAGUGUGGAAGAGAUAACCGCUGAAAGCAUCUAAGCGGGAAACUCGUUUCAAGAUGAGAUCUGCCGGGGCCUUGAGCCCCCUGAAGAGUCGUUCAAGACCAGGACGUUGAUAGGUCAGGUGUGGAAGCGCAGUAAUGCGUUAAGCUAACUGAUACUAAUUGCUCGUGCGGCUUGACC